rnacentral:tRNA from 2 species
GGGGACAUAGCUCAGGGGUAGAGCGUUUGACUGCAGAUCAAGAGGUCCCUGGUUCAAAUCCGGGUGCCCCCU